rnacentral:misc_RNA from 1 species
CAACCUUCAAGCACGGCUUGUGUGUUGAGCGGUCUGUUCUUGAUGAACAGGGCUCGAAAUGCAGCGGCGAUGGUGAGAUUGGUGCCCGAGCGUAUGGGGCUUUGUCACACGCUCUGGUGGCUCCAGCUUGCAGUCUGCCCAAACGGUGUAUAUAUAUGCUCUGUAUAUACUCUGUAUAUAUAUACCCAAACCCAUCU